UUAUUAUAUGAGGAGAGAGAGAGAGAGAGAGAGAGAGAGAGAGAGAGAGAGAGAGAGAGAGGAAAAAGUGAUCGAACCACACCGUGCGAGGCAAGGAUCCUUUCACGGCGGUGGUCACACUUGUAGAAUAAAAAGAAAAAAAAAAAAAAGAAAGAAAAAAGAAGAAA